rnacentral:rRNA from 1 species
UAGGGGGCAAGCGUUAUCCGGAUUUACUGGGUGUAAAGGGAGCGUAGACGGCGGCGCAAGCCAGAUGUGAAAGCCCGGGGCUCAACCCCGGGACUGCAUUUGGAACUGUGCCGCUAGAGUGUCGGAGAGGCAGGCGGAAUUCCUAGUGUAGCGGUGAAAUGCGUAGAUAUUAGGAGGAACACCAGUGGCGAAGGCGGCCUGCUGGACGACGACUGACGUUGAGGCUCGAAAGCGUGGGGAGCAAAC